UACGGGAGGCAGCAGUGGGGAAUAUUGCACAAUGGGCGAAAGCCUGAUGCAGCUAUGCCGCGUGUAUGAAGAAGGCCUUAGGGUUGUAAAGUACUUUCAUCGGGGAGGAAAAACAAAACUAAUAAUUUUAUUUCUUGACGUUACCCGAAAAAGAAGCACCGGCUAACUCCGUGCCAGCAGCCGCGGUAAUACGGAGGGUGCUAGCGUUAAUCAGAAUUACUGGGCGUAAAGAGCACGUAGGUGGUUUUUUUAAGUUGGAUGUGAAAUCCCCGGGCUUAACCUGGGAAUGGCAUUCAAGACUGGUUAGCUAGAGUCUUGUAGAGGGGGGUUAGAAUUCCAUGUGUAGCGGUGAAAUGCGUAGAGAUGUGGAGGAAUACCGGUGGCGAAGGCGGCCCCUGGACAAAGACUGACGCUCAUGUGCGAAAGCGUGGGGAGCAAACAGGGAUUAGAUACC
rnacentral:rRNA from 1 species